rnacentral:lncRNA from 1 species
AGCCAGGGAUUGGCUCUGAGGAAGCCAUGGACCUUGUGUGCUCCCCAUGUGAGACUGCAGGUUUGCGUCUGUCUCCCAGUGGGUGUGUUCCCCGACCCUACCCAGACAUAGCCAAAACCUUGCUUUCCUGCAUGCAGUCAUCAGAGAUGCCAGACCAGAGGAAACACAGCAAUCAAAGCAGGCAAACCUGUUGCUAAAUGUGUUUUUGAAAGAGUAAAACUCCUUGGCCAAAUACUUCAAGACACUGAUGAUUCUCAAA